GCCAGGUGUGCUGGCGCGCGCCUGUAGUUCCAGCUACUCGGGAGGCUGAGAUGGGAGGAUUGUUUGAGCCCAGGAGGUGGAGGCUGCGGUGAGCUGAGAUUGUGCCACUGCACUCCAGCCUGGGCAACAGAGCGAUAUCCUGUCUCAA
rnacentral:SRP_RNA from 1 species